CCUACGGGUGGCUGCAGUGGGGAAUAUUGGACAAUGGGCGAAAGCCUGAUCCAGCCAUGCCGCGUGUGUGAAGAAGGCCUUCGGGUUGUAAAGCACUUUCAGUGGGGAAGAAAGCCUUGGGGCUAAUACCCUCGAGGAAGGACAUCACCCACAGAAGAAGCACCGGCUAACUCCGUGCCAGCAGCCGCGGUAAUACGGAGGGUGCGAGCGUUAAUCGGAAUUACUGGGCGUAAAGCGCGCGUAGGCGGUCUGAUAAGCCGGUUGUGAAAGCCCCGGGCUCAACCUGGGAACGGCAUCCGGAACUGUCAGGCUAGAGUGCAGGAGAGGAAGGUAGAAUUCCCGGGGUAGCGGUGAAAUGCGUAGAGAUCGGGAGGAAUACCAGUGGCGAAGGCGGCCUUCUGGACUGACACUGACGCUGCGGUGCGAAAGCGUGGGUAGCAAACAGGAUUAGAUACCCUGGUAGUC
rnacentral:rRNA from 1 species